CACCUUGUGUGCAAUGUUGUGCUAGAGAUCCUCGGAUCUCUUGCACCUACACCAACCUAAUAACCUUGAACCACUUUGUCUGAAAAACUAUUAUGAAUACUUAAUUCAAAAUACAACUUUCAACAACGGAUCUCUUGGCUCUCGCAUCGAUGAAGAACGCAGCGAAAUGCGAUACGUAAUGUGAAUUGCAGAAUUCAGUGAAUCAUCGAAUCUUUGAACGCACAUUGCACUCUCUGGUAUUCCGGAGAGUAUGCUUGUUUGAGUAUCAGUAAACACCUCAACUCUCUUCUCUCUCGAGAAGUGAAUUGGACUUGAGCAAUCCCAACUCUUUGCAAAAAGAGGCGGGUUGCUUGAAAUGCAGGUGCAGCUGGACAUUCUUCUGAGCUAAAAGCNUAUUUAUUUAGUCCCGUCAAACGGAUUAUUACUUUUUGCUCUAGCUAACAUAAAGGUCGAUUUGUUCUCUAUGCUGACUGAUGCAGGAUUACCAAGGGUCUCUAGUAGACACUUGUAAACUCGAUCUCAAAUCAAGUAAGACUACCCGCUGAACUUAAGCAUAUCAAUAAGCGGAGGAAAAGAAACUAACAAGGAUUCCCCUAGUAACGGCGAGUGAAGCGGGAUGAGCUCAAAUUUAAAAUCUGGCUGGUUUACUAGUCCG
rnacentral:rRNA from 1 species